rnacentral:rRNA from 1 species
AUGAUCCUAUGCUGCCGAGAAAAGCCUCUAGCGAGCUGGUACAUGGCCCGUACCCCAAACCGACACAGGUGGUCAGGUAGAGAAUACUAAGGCGAUCGAGAGAACUGUGGUUAAGGAACUCGGCAAAAUGCCCCCGUAACUUCGGGAGAAGGGGGACCAGUCCUGGUGACGACAUUUACUGUCUGAGCUGGGGUUGGUCGCAGAGACCAGAGAGAAGCGACUGUUUACUAAAAACACAGGUCCGUGCGAAGUCGUAAGACGAUGUAUACGGACUGACGCCUCCCCGGUGCUGGAAGGUUAAGAGGACCGGUCAGCCACUUCGGUGGCGAAGCUGAGAAUUUAAGCCCCAGUAAACGGCGGUGGUAACUAUAACCAUCCUAAGGUAGCGAAAUUCCUUGUCGGGUAAGUUCCGACCUGCACGAAUGGCGUAACGACUUCUCUGCUGUCUCAACCACAGACUCGGCGAAAUUGCAGUACGAGUAAAGAUGCUCGUUACGCGCGGCAGGACGAAAAGACCCCGGGACCUUCACUAUAGCUUGGUAUUGGUGUUCGGUUCGGUUUGUGUAGGAUAGGUGGGAGACUGUGAAACUCGCACGCCAGUGUGGGUGGAGUCAUUGUUGAAAUACCACUCUGACCGUAUUGGACAUCUAACCUCGGACCAUGAUCUGGUUCAGGGACAGUGCCUGGUGGGUAGUUUAACUGGGGCGGUUGCCUCCCAAAAAGUAACGGAGGCGCCCAAAGGUUCCCUCAGCCUGGUUGGCAAUCAGGUGUUGAGUGUAAGUGCACAAGGGAGCUUGACAGUGAGACGUACAUGUCGAGCAGGGACGAAAGUCGGGACUAGUGAUCCGGCACCGGCAAGUGGAAGCGGUGUCGCUCAACGGAUAAAAGGUACCCCGGGGAUAACAGGCUGAUCUUCCCCAAGAGUCCAUAUCGACGGGAUGGUUUGGCACCUCGAUGUCGGCUCGUCGCAUCCUGGGGCUGGAGUAGGUCCCAAGGGUUGGGCUGUUCGCCCAUUAAAGCGGCACGCGAGCUGGGUUUAGAACGUCGUGAGACAGUUCGGUCUCUAUCCGCCGCGCGCGUAAGAAACUUGAGGAAACCUGUCCCUAGUACGAGAGGACCGGGACGGACGAACCUCUGGUGUGCCAGUUGUUCCACCAGGAGCACCGCUGGUUAGCUACGUUCGGAAGGGAUAACCGCUGAAAGCAUCUAAGCGGGAAGCCUGUUCCAAGAUGAGGUUUCUCACCACCUAGCGUGGUUAAGGCCCCCCACAGACCAUGGGGUUGAUAGGCCAGAACUGUAAGCACAGCAAUGUGUUCAGGUGACUGGUACUAAUCGGCCGAGGACUU